rnacentral:rRNA from 1 species
UUUCGCAAUGCCCGAAAGGGUGACGAAGCGACGCCGCGUGGGUGAGGAAGGCCUUCGGGUUGUAAAGCCCUGUCAGGAGUUAAGAAAUGUAAGUGCGCUAAUAUCGCAUUUAUUUGACGAAGGCUCCAAAGGAAGUCACGGCUAACUCUGUGCCAGCAGCCGCGGUAAUACAGAGGUGGCAAGCGUUGUUCGGAAUUAUUGGGCGUAAAGAGCACGUAGGUGGGUUUGUAAGUCAAAUGUGAAAGCCUUCUGUUCAACGGAAGAAUUGCAUCUGAAACUGCUAAUCUUGAGUAUAGGAGGGGAGAAUGGAACUUCUGGUGGAGCGGUGAAAUGCGUAGAUAUCAGAAGGAACGCCGGCGGCGAAAGCGAUUCUCUGGCCUAUUACUGACACUCAGUGUGCGAAAGCUAGGGGAGCAAACGGGAUUAGAUACCCCGGUAGUCCUAGCCGUAAACGAUGGGCACUAAGUAGAGGGGUUUUA